GACGGAGAGUCAAGUGAGGAGAGAGUCAAGAGACGCUGGUGUUAGAGGAACGCAGAGACGAGGGAAAAGUUGCAGGAAGCCGUGAGAACUCUAGCGAGGACCGCGUAACUAGAGACUACAGUGGUAAUGCUGUUUACAAAUUUAGAGGCAGAUUGUAGUCUUUCAGUGGACUGAGAAUCCAAGAUUAUGGAGUAUUAUAAAGCAACCAUGGAAGUUUCAAUUUCAUUGAUACUUAAAGAGAUAUUAUCAAAAUGGAGAAAGAAAAUGAGGGUGCAGUCUGUUGAGGAGUUUCGGAAAAUGAGUCUGUCUACUUUGCUUUAUCUAACUAGCUGUGAAUACAAAUAUAAUUCUAGUCUAUAGCUAGUGAUAGAUAAAAAUCCAGAUUGAGUCAAAUAUGAAUUUUGACCGCAAAGUUUACUCUAAUACA